GAGGUUCAACCAGGUUGUCGGCUGAGUCAGCACUUCCUUUUUAUGGCCGAAUACAACUCGCUGGAUGGCCAGAGCACACGUGUUUAUGCUGUCAUUAGCAGGGAGACAUCUGGGUUGCUCCCACCUUUCAUCUCCUGUGAAUGACGCUGCUAUAAACAAUCAUCUGCAAGGACCUGCCAAACUGCUUUCCUAGUGGCUGCACCGUUACACACGCCCAUCAGCAACGCAUGGCCUUUCCAACUCUGCGCAUCCUGGACAACGCGGUUACCUUCCAUCUUUUUUAUUACAUCCACCCUGGUUAUUUGGCUGCUUGGGGAACAACCCUGUAUUGUGCCCAUUUUUCCGAGAAAGUGGAGAAAGCAAAAGACAUGUCGGCCUCCUGGGCGGCUCAGCUGGUCACUGUCGGUGUUGGGGCCAGCAAGGCUGCAGGGAGGAAGGAGCGGGCCUGGAGGCCAGGCCAGGGUCUGUGGGGCCAGGAGCUCCUGCGGGGACUGCCUCACCCCAGCUCUGGGCUGCCAGGGCUGAGGCCAAGAGCACAGCAGACAGGCAUCCCUCUCUGCCCUCCCCGGCUCCAGCCCUGGCCUCAGGCCUGGGGAGCACUUGGAUCAGGGCCCCUCAGGAAGGGCCAGACUCUCACUGAAGGGCUGGUGUCAGGAGCCACGCAUGCUGGUUUAAGCGACCACCCACCUCUGGGGAGGGGACGCUCCACCUCCAGUGCCCCCGCCUCCCAGGAAGGGUGGACCACUGCCCUGUCCCACUCGCCCAGAACCGACCAGGGCUGGGCACUCGGACUGAGCGCGGCCGUAGGGCUGACCCCACGGCCAGUCAUGGCACAGGCUGUGGCCCCAGGCCUCCCCUUAAAGUCCAGCAGGCGCCGCUUUACGUGUGGGGAUGGCCUGGCUGUGCUGGGGGACAGAGGGGCUGCAGCCUCCCACGAGCAGUGCUGGGGCCGGGACCCCCCACCCUGGGCUGCACCCACGACAGCCCCCUCCCCCAAGACCUGCAGCAUAACCCUGACUCUGGAAGCGCCCCGCCUUCCACGGGCUUCAGGGCCUCCGCGUUUCGCCUGCAGCCUGUUCUCCUGGGCCGGGGGACCCGGGCUCAGCAUCAGAUGCCCCCCCACCCAACUCUGAAGGGCUUUCCUCUUGCACAGUCAGGCCUCAGCAGUCUCAGCAGCAGACCGCGUGGGGCUGGAACCUUCUUGUCUUGCAGCCUCACUUGCCAACGCCUCCCCUCAAGGUCCAGAAGAGCCCUUAGUCUGCACCCAGGUCUCAGCCCUCCUGCUGAGGUUGCAAGACCCUGCUCCUGGGACCCUGCAGAGCAAUACCCGACUCCACCCCAGAGAAGGCCCUGCUCUGCCCCCCAGCAUCACAGCUGGCAGGCGGUUCUGGGCCCUGACACCACACAGGUG
ensembl:lncRNA